UACGUAGGGUGCGAGCGUUGUCCGGAAUUAUUGGGCGUAAAGAGCUCGUAGGCGGUUUGUCGCGUCGGCCGUGAAAACUUGGGGCUUAACCCCAAGCUUGCGGUCGAUACGGGCAGACUUGAGUUCGGCAGGGGAGACUGGAAUUCCUGGUGUAGCGGUGAAAUGCGCAGAUAUCAGGAGGAACACCGGUGGCGAAGGCGGGUCUCUGGGCCGAUACUGACGCUGAGGAGCGAAAGCGUGGGAAGCGAACAGG
rnacentral:rRNA from 1 species